CUUCUUCCUAGAACCUGUGAAUAUGUUAACUUAUAUGGCAAUAGGCAUUCUGCAGAUGUGAUUAACAACCUUAAGAUGGAGAAGUUAUCCUGGGUUAUCCAAGCAGGCCCAAUGUAAUCACAAGGGUCCUGGUAGGAGGUCAGAAGAGCCAGUGAUGUGACAACAGACACAGGUCAGAGUUAUGUGGCCAUGAGCCAAGGAGUGUCGGCUGCCUCUAGAAGCUAGAAAAGGCAAGGAACAGACUCUCUCUUGAAGCUUCCAGAAGAAACUGGCUGUGCAAAUACUCCAUAGGACUCAUUUUGGCCUUCUUAUCUCCAGAGCUGGACCAAGGACAGAACCCAGAGGGCUAACAAAGAAGCACCAUGGAGUUGGUACACAGACCUCUGAGAGCGGAUCCUAAAUGGCUAUCGCUGCUACCUGGCAUCUCACCAGAGAACUGGUCCUGGAAGCUGUCAAGGAAGGUUGAAGCUUUUAACUGCUACUGACCAAUACAGGAAAAACAGAAAUGUAAAGAAGUCAGCUAUCAGACUCCGGAAACCCAAACAAUUUUCUGAUGAAGGAGAGGCGUGGUAUGACAAUUGGCCCUGAGCUCCGCACAAGCAAUCACCAAGAUUCACUGAUUCUGCAGCUGUAGAAUCAACUCCCAGACUAAGUUAUCUAAGAAUUAAACCUCAAAUCUUCCACACUAAAAUCACCUUUAAAAACAUAAGCUCUUUAAAAAAAAUAAU